GACGAACCGAGCGAACGUUAUUCGGAAUCACUGGGCUUAAAGGGCGCGUAGGCGGGCGGCCAAGUCAGGGGUGAAAGCCUCCAGCUCAACUGGAGAAGUGCCUCUGAUACUGGCCAUCUUGAGGGAGGUAGGGGCGUGCGGAACUUCCGGUGGAGCGGUGAAAUGCGUAGAUAUCGGAAGGAACACCGGUGGCGAAAGCGGCGCGCUGGACCUCUUCUGACGCUGAGGCGCGAAAGCCAGGGGAGCAAACGGG
rnacentral:rRNA from 1 species